rnacentral:rRNA from 1 species
UACGUAGGGGGCAAGCGUUGUCCGGAUUUAUUGGGCGUAAAGAGCGUGUAGGCGGCCAGAAAGGUCCGUUGUGAAAACUCGAGGCUCAACCUCGAGACGCCGAUGGAAACCAUCUGGCUAGAGUCCGGAAGAGGAGAGUGGAAUUCCCGGUGUAGAGGUGAAAUUCGUAGAUAUUCGCAAGAACACCAGUGGCGAAGGCGGCUCACUGGCCCGGUACUGACGCUGAGGUGCGAAAGCGUGGGAGCAAACAGGAUUAGAAACCCUGAGUA